GAAGAAGCGCAUACGGUGGAUGCCUUGGCAGUCAGAGGCGAUGAAAGACGUGGUAGCCUGCGAAAAGCUUCGGGGAGUCGGCAAACAGACUUUGAUCCGGAGAUGUCUGAAUGGGGGAACCCACCUAACAUAAGUUAGGUAUCUUAAGCUGAAUACAUAGGCUUAAGAAGCGAACCAGGGGAACUGAAACAUCUAAGUACCCUGAGGAAAAGAAAUCAACCGAGAUUCCCUUAGUAGUGGCGAGCGAACGGGGACCAGCCCUUAAGCUGUAUUGAUGUUAGCGGAACGCUCUGGAAAGUGCGGCCAUAGUGGGUGAUAGCCCUGUACGCGAAAACAUCUUUGCAGUGAAAUCGAGUAGGACGGAGCACGAGAAACUUUGUCUGAAUAUGGGGGGACCAUCCUCCAAGGCUAAAUACUACUGACUGACCGAUAGUGAACCAGUACCGUGAGGGAAAGGCGAAAAGAACCCCGGAGAGGGGAGUGAAAUAGAUCCUGAAACCGUAUGCGUACAAGCAGUGGGAGCCCACUUUGUUGGGUGACUGCGUACCUUUUGUAUAAUGGGUCAGCGACUUAUUUUCAGUGGCGAGCUUAACCGAAUAGGGGAGGCGUAGCGAAAGCGAGUCUUAAUAGGGCGUCUAGUCGCUGGGAAUAGACCCGAAACCGGGCGAUCUAUCCAUGGGCAGGUUGAAGGUUGGGUAACACUAACUGGAGGACCGAACCGACUACCUUUGAAAAGUUAGCGGAUGACCUGUGGAUCGGAGUGAAAGGCUAAUCAAGCUCGGAGAUAGCUGGUUCUCCUCGAAAGCUAUUUAGGUAGCGCCUCAUGUAUCACUGUAGGGGGUAGAGCACUGUUUCGGCUAGGGGGUCAUCCCGACUUACCAAACCGAUGCAAACUCCGAAUACCUACAAGUGCCGAGCAUGGGAGACACACGGCGGGUGCUAACGUCCGUCGUGAAGAGGGAAACAACCCAGACCGCCAGCUAAGGUCCCAAAGUCAUGGUUAAGUGGGAAACGAUGUGGGAAGGCACAGACAGCCAGGAUGUUGGCUUAGAAGCAGCCAUCAUUUAAAGAAAGCGUAAUAGCUCACUAGUCGAGUCGGCCUGCGCGGAAGAUGUAACGGGGCUCAAACCAUGCACCGAAGCUACGGGUAUCACCUUUUGGUGAUGCGGUAGAGGAGCGUUCUGUAAGCCUGUGAAGGUGAGUUGAGAAGCUUGCUGGAGGUAUCAGAAGUGCGAAUGCUGACAUGAGUAACGACAAUGGGUGUGAAAAACACCCACGCCGAAAGACCAAGGUUUCCUGCGCAACGUUAAUCGACGCAGGGUUAGUCGGUCCCUAAGGCGAGGCUGAAAAGCGUAGUCGAUGGAAAACAGGUUAAUAUUCCUGUACUUCUGGUUAUUGCGAUGGAGGGACGGAGAAGGCUAGGCCAGCUUGGCGUUGGUUGUCCAAGUUUAAGGUGGUAGGCUGGAAUCUUAGGUAAAUCCGGGAUUCUAAGGCCGAGAGCUGAUGACGAGUGUUCUUUUAGAACACGAAGUGGUUGAUGCCAUGCUUCCAAGAAAAGCUUCUAAGCUUCAGGUAACCAGGAACCGUACCCCAAACCGACACAGGUGGUUGGGUAGAGAAUACCAAGGCGCUUGAGAGAACUCGGGUGAAGGAACUAGGCAAAAUGGCACCGUAACUUCGGGAGAAGGUGCGCCGGUGAGGGUGAAGCAUUUACUGCGUAAGCUCACGCCGGUCGAAGAUACCAGGCCGCUGCGACUGUUUAUUAAAAACACAGCACUCUGCAAACACGAAAGUGGACGUAUAGGGUGUGACGCCUGCCCGGUGCCGGAAGGUUAAUUGAUGGGGUUAGCUAACGCGAAGCUCUUGAUCGAAGCCCCGGUAAACGGCGGCCGUAACUAUAACGGUCCUAAGGUAGCGAAAUUCCUUGUCG
rnacentral:rRNA from 1 species